UACGGGGGGGGCAAGCGUUGUUCGGAAUUACUGGGCGUAAAGGGCUCGUAGGUGGCCAACUAAGUCGGACGUGAAAUCCCUCAGCUUAACUGGGGAACUGCGUCCGAUACUGGAUGGCUCGAGUUUGGGAGAGGGAUGCGGAAUUCCAGGUGUAGCGGUGAAAUGCGUAGAUAUCUGGAGGAACACCGGUGGCGAAGGCGGAUCUCUGGGCCUUACCUGACGCUCAGGCGCGAAAGCUAGGGGAGCGAACAGG
rnacentral:rRNA from 1 species